GAUGAACGCUGACAGAAUGCUUAACACAUGCAAGUCAACUUGAAUUUGGGUUUUUAACUUAGGUUUGGGUGGCGGACGGGUGAGUAACGCGUAAAGAACUUGCCUCACAGUUAGGGACAACAUUUGGAAACGAAUGCUAAUACCUGAUAUUAUGAUAAUAGGGCAUCCUAUAAUUAUGAAAGCUAUAAGCGCUGUGAGAGAGCUUUGCGUCCCAUUAGCUAGUUGGAGAGGUAACGGCUCACCAAGGCGAUGAUGGGUAGCCGGCCUGAGAGGGUGAUCGGCCACAAGGGGACUGAGACACGGCCCUUACUCCUACGGGAGGCAGCAGUGGGGAAUAUUGGACAAUGGACCAAGAGUCUGAUCCAGCAAUUCUGUGUGCACGAUGAAGUUUUUCGGAAUGUAAAGUGCUUUCAGUUGGGAAGAAAAAAAUGACGGUACCAACAGAAGAAGUGACGGCUAAAUACGUGCCAGCAGCCGCGGUAAUACGUAUGUCACGAGCGUUAUCCGGAUUUAUUGGGCGUAAAGCGCGUCUAGGUGGUUAUGUAAGUCUGAUGUGAAAAUGCAGGGCUCAACUCUGUAUUGCGUUGGAAACUGUAUAACUAGAGUACUGGAGAGGUAAGCGGAACUACAAGUGUAGAGGUGAAAUUCGUAGAUAUUUGUAGGAAUGCCGAUGGGGAAGCCAGCUUACUGGACAGAUACUGACGCUGAAGCGCGAAAGCGUGGGUAGCAAACAGG
rnacentral:rRNA from 1 species